rnacentral:rRNA from 1 species
UACGUAGGGGGCAAGCGUUGUCCGGAAUCAUUGGGCGUAAAGCGCGUGUAGGCGGCUCGAUUAGUCCGCUCUGAAAGUCCGGGGCUCAACCCCGGGAGGCGGGUGGAUACUGUCGAGCUAGAGUCCGGAAGAGGAGAGUGGAAUUCCUGGUGUAGCGGUGAAAUGCGCAGAUAUCAGGAAGAACACCCGUGGCGAAGGCGGCUCUCUGGGACGGUACUGACGCUGAGACGCGAAAGCGUGGGGAGCGAACAGG